UACGUAGGGGGCUAGCGUUGUCCGGAUUUAUUGGGCGUAAAGAGCGUGUAGGCGGCCAGGUAGGUCCGGUGUGAAAACUCGAGGCUUAACCUCGAGAUGUCAUCGGAAACCAUCUGGCUAGAGUCCGGAAGAGGAGAGUGGAAUUCCUGGUGUAGCGGUGAAAUGCGCAGAUAUCAGGAAGAACACCAAUGACGAAAGCAGCUCUCUGGGACGGUACUGACGCUGAGACGCGAAAGCGUGGGGAGCGAACAGG
rnacentral:rRNA from 1 species